UGGGGAAUUUUGGACAAUGGGCGAAAGCCUGAUCCAGCAAUGCCGCGUGUGUGAAGAAGGCCUUCGGGUUGUAAAGCACUUUUGUCCGGAAAGAAAUCCUUGGCUCUAAUACAGUCGGGGGAUGACGGUACCGGAAGAAUAAGCACCGGCUAACUACGUGCCAGCAGCCGCGGUAAUACGUAGGGUGCAAGCGUUAAUCGGAAUUACUGGGCGUAAAGCGUGCGCAGGCGGUUUGCUAAGACCGAUGUGAAAUCCCCGGGCUCAACCUGGGAACUGCAUUGGUGACUGGCAGGCUAGAGUAUGGCAGAGGGGGGUAGAAUUCCACGUGUAGCAGUGGAAUGCGUAGAGAUGUGGAGGAAUACCGAUGGCGAAGGCAGCCCCCUGGGCCAAUACUGACGCUCAUGCACGAAAGCGUGGGGAGCAAACAGGAUUAGAUACCCUGGUAGUCCACGCCCUAAAACGAUGUCAACUAGUUGUUGGGGAUUCAUUUCCUUAGUAACGUAGCUAACGCGUGAAGUUGACCGCCUGGGGAGUACGGUCGCAAGAUUAAAACUCAAAUGAAUUGACGGGGUCAUA
rnacentral:rRNA from 1 species